GCAUGCUCUUCGGUGAGUCCUUUGUUAAGGACCUAGGCUCCUUUGUGCGCCUUAACCACACUAGAUAAGGCCCAGUCCAACUUGAAACAAGUUUUUGGCCCAAAGGUUUUCCAAGGGGCCGGGAGGUAUAGGAGCCGUCCGCCCAGCCAUGGAGCUCGAGGUCCCUCACGGACUCACAGAAGUUCCUUUGCUGACCCUUGGGCCUACCAGGAAUACAAGCCCGCUCCCUUCUUCCCCUCAUGCGGAAGACCGUGGCAGAAUUGAGGAGGACGUCCUUAUGGUAGGUACCCCCAAAUGUGGUUUUUCCCAUGCAAGCGUGGGGGGCAGGCUAGCUUUAUUUAUCGAUAUGUGGGGCAUGAUCACCACAGAUGUGUGGGUUUUGAAUACAGUCAGGG